rnacentral:rRNA from 1 species
ACGUACACUCCUACGGGAGGCAGCAGUGGGGAAUAUUGGACAAUGGGCGCAAGCCUGAUCCAGCCAUGCCGCGUGAGUGAUGAAGGCCCUAGGGUUGUAAAGCUCUUUCACCGGUGAAGAUAAUGACGGUAACCGGAGAAGAAGCCCCGGCUAACUUCGUGCCAGCAGCCGCGGUAAUACGAAGGGGGCUAGCGUUGUUCGGAUUUACUGGGCGUAAAGCGCACGUAGGCGGACUAUUAAGUCAGGGGUGAAAUCCCGGGGCUCAACCCCGGAACUGCCUUUGAUACUGGUAGUCUUGAGUUCGAGAGAGGUGAGUGGAAUUCCGAGUGUAGAGGUGAAAUUCGUAGAUAUUCGGAGGAACACCAGUGGCGAAGGCGGCUCACCGGCUCGAUACUGACGCUGAGGUGCGAAAGCGUGGGGAGCAAACAGGAUUAGAUACCCCUGUAGUCCCAUGA